GUGGAGAAGAAGAAGAAGUUUGAUGAUCCAUCUUUGGAUUAAACAAAGCUCCUGCUAUUAUCUUCACUCUUUUCAGGGUUUCUUUGGAUUAGACGAAGGAAUUCCCCUGUUGGAUAGAGAAUCAUGACUCCUGGCUGAGAGAUGCACGAGGUUGUUGGAGGAAGUGAUGCUUAACUCACCCGUCUGUGAUCAACAGCAGCUGCAGACGAGAGCAGCAGAAAAUAUCCCUCAAAGUCGACCGCUCCUCGACGGUUUCCCCGUGUUCUCUGGCACAGACUGAGCGAGACGGUGCGGCUCUCCGCUCCUGCAGCUCGCUGUGAGAGAGUGAGGGUGUGAACAUGUGUGACAAGAGAGGAGGCACAAAGGAGGAGGGAAGAGGAGAAGGAAAACAAGAGGGAGGCACUGGGAGGGAGGAAAGAAGGAAGGAAAGAAGCUAAGGAUGAGGAGGAUCGGACAGGUGUGGAAUUUAUACGGCAGUCUGUCUGGAAGGGUUGGCUCGUCGGCUGUAACAUAACAUGAGGACACACUGUUCUGAAUGACAUGUAAUUACAAAAGAGACACCAGUGGACGCCACUACUACGACCUCCUAAGUCUGUUAAGAGACCCCUGAUCUACACCAAACCCAGCUGUAACAAAGCAGAGGAGAUGAAAACAUUUCACCCUCCACCACACCAGGGUCUUCAUC